UUCCGGUUGAUCCUGCCGGACCUGACUGCUAUCGGAUUGGUACUAAGCCAUGCGAGUCAUUGUAGCAAUACAAGGCGGACGGCUCAGUAACACGUAGUCAACCUAACUCGUGGACGUGGAUAACCUCGGGAAACUGAGAAUAAACCACGAUAGAUCAUAGUGCCUGGAAUGGCUUAUGGUCCAAACAGUUUACUGCCAUGGGAUGGGACUGCGGCCUAUCAGCUUGUUGGUGAGGUAAUGGCCCACCAAGGCGAUUACAGGUACGGGCUCUGAGAGGAGAAGCCCGGAGAUGGGUACUGAGACACGGACCCAGGCCCUAUGGGGCGCAGCAGGCGAGAAACCUUAGCAAUGUGCGAAAGCACGACUGGGUCAGUCCGAGUGAUUCCUGAUAAAGGAGUCUUUUGCUUGUCCUAAAAGCACAGGUGAAUAAGGGGUGGGCAAGUCUGGUGUCAGCCGCCGCGGUAAUACCAGCACCUCGAGUGGUCAGGACGUUUAUUGGGCCUAAAGCAUCCGUAGCCGGCUCUGCAAGUCUUCGGUUAAAUCCACCUGCUCAACAGAUGGGCCGCUGGAGAUACUACAGAGCUAGGGAGUGGGAGAGGCAGACGGUAUUCAGUGGGUAGGGGUAAAAUCCUCUGAUCCAUUGAGGACCACCAGUGGCGAAGGCGGUCUGCCAGAACACGUUCGACGGUGAGGGAUGAAAGCUGGGGGAGCAAACCGGAUUAAAUACCCGGGUAGUCCCAGCUGUAAACGAUGCAAACUCGGUGAUGCAUUGGCUUAUGGCCAAUGCAGUGCCGCAGGGAAGCCGUUAAGUUUGCCGCCUGGGGAAGUACGGACGCAAGUCUGAAACUUAAAGGAAUUGGCGGGGGAGCACCACAAGGGGUGAAGCCUGCGGUUCAUUGGAGUCAACGCCGGG
rnacentral:rRNA from 1 species